GUCUUAGUUUUGUCUUGUUUCUGUUUAGCUUUGCUUGCACUUGGCAACUGCCUGCAUUGUACUUGUACCCUUUUGUUUUGCUUUACUUUAUUAUCUUAGUUAUCCAGUGUCUGUCUAUUCCAUAGAGUCUGGGGGCAACAACUUUUAACUGUUUGUUAAUUUGGCAGGCAGGGUUCUCGCUGGCGGGAGGCUAGUCAGUCACCUAGUGGUGGUGCAGUAAAGAUGCACAUUUUGAUGUGAAUUAUCAGAAUGUUUGCUGUGGUCUGCGGUGUUACUAUUUUAUCUUUUUUGCUGUGCGUGUGCAUGUGUGUGGGCUCUAGGGCACAUUAUAAGUAGUCUGCCUCCCCCAGGUAAGCCCCUGCCUUGCUCAUCCUGCUCCCCCAGGUAAGCCCCUGCCUUGCUCAUCCUGCUCCAUCGUGCCUCCCCUAUGGAACCUGUCUGUGAUCAUUUUUAAAGGGGUCAUAGAAUGCAAAACCGAGUUUACCUUGUCAUAGAUGAAUAGCGAUAGUUCAGUGGGUGAAAUGGACAUACAGAGAACUUCAAAACCCCAUCGACACCUCCUUUCUAUGCAAAUCUCACAAUUCGAAACUCCCGCCAUAAAAUGGGCGAAUCCCAACGAAGCUCCGAGUUUACGCAAACUCGCAGGUGGUACCUUAUUUGGCUCUGGCCUGUACAUUUGUCACGCCUCAAUUUACAUACAGACCAGCCCACUGGUGCUCUGAGCCCAGGAACGUGAAUGGAGAGCGAAGAUGAGACAAACAUUAGUUUAGCUGCCUGCUCGUUUACUUCCACAGAAAUGAUAAAGUAGACAGUUCUUCAAGGAUAUCGAAAAUGAGCCACGGUCGUAAAUGCAGUGUUCCAGGCUGAAACUUAGGCUACAAAGAAAGCGGAGACUUUCCAUAGUCUUCCCAAGGAUUCAAAAGUUCGAGGGGCAUGGAUAAUGUUUUUAUACCAGAAGAUCCCUGCAAAGUUCGACACUCCGUUAUUAAUUUGCCAAAACAUUUCACCGAAGGCAGUUUUCAAAACCUUGGACAGUUUAAAGCAGGAUUUGCUACGCUGCUGUUACUGAAACGAGGGGCUGUUCCGACCGUAAGGUCAUCACAACCGCAUGCUGUUUUAUCUUGCAGCCAUGCACUUCAAUGCGAAUGCUGAGUCCCCACAACAGAAGACAGCCAAGGAGAAACUAUGUACAGACUUGCCAAACAAUUUGCUGACCCCUCUACCUGAUUGGGAUGCCGUCCAGCGGAUUCCUGUGCCCCAGGACUUGUGUGCUCAGCUUGACAGACCUUCCAUGGAGGAUGCUGUUGC